AGUGAACGCUGGCGGUAGGCCUAAUACAUGCAAGUCGAACGGCAGCACAGUAAGAGCUUGCUCUUACGGGUGGCGAGUGGCGGACGGGUGAGGAAUACAUCGGAAUCUACUUUUUCGUGGGGGACAACGUAGGGAAACUUACGCUAAUACCGCAUACGUCCUACGGGUGAAAGCAGGAGAUCUUCGGACCUUGCGCGUUUCAAUGAGCCGAUGUCGGAUUAGCUAGUUGGCGGGGUAAAGGCCCACCAAGGCGACGAUCCGUAGCUGGUCUGAGAGGAUGAUCAGCCACACUGGAACUGAGACACGGUCCAGACUCCUACGGGAGGCAGCAGUGGGGAAUAUUGGACAAUGGGCGCAAGCCUGAUCCAGCCAUACCGCGUGAGUGAAGAAGGCCUUCGGGUUGUAAAGCCCUUUUGUUGGGAAAGAAAAGCAGCAGGUUAAUACCCCGCUGUUCUGACGGUACCCAAAGAAUAAGCACCGGCUAACUUCGUG
rnacentral:rRNA from 1 species